GAUGAACGCUGGCGGCGUGCCUAAUACAUGCAAGUCGAGCGAACGGACGAGAAGCUUGCUUCUCUGAUGUUAGCGGCGGACGGGUGAGUAACACGUGGAUAACCUACCUAUAAGACUGGGAUAACUUCGGGAAACCGUAGCUAAUACCGGAUAAUAUUUUGAACCGCAAGGUUCAAAAGUGAAAGACGGUCUUGCUGUCACUUAUCGAUGGAUCCGCGCUGCAUUAGCUAGUUGGUAAGGUAACGGCUUACCAAGGCAACGAUGCAUAGCCGACCUGAGAGGGUGAUCGGCCACACUGGAACUGAGACACGGUCCAGACUCCUACGGGAGGCAGCAGUAGGGAAUCUUCCGCAAUGGGCGAAAGCCUGACGGAGCAACGCCGCGUGAGUGAUGAAGGUCUUCGGAUCGUAAAACUCUGUUAUUAGUGAAGAACAUAUGUGUAAGUAACUGUGCACAUCUUGACGGUACCUAAUCAGAAAGCCACGGCUAACUACGUG
rnacentral:rRNA from 1 species